AAGGAUGUUAGCUCUCGAUGCUUCAACAAAGGAAGUUACGUUGAUCAGAUUUCCAAUGUUACAAGUGCCGAGAAAAGGCGUUCGUAUUGACGAGAAUCAACAAUCUUGAAUAACAGGAAUAAAUAUGGUGUUUCCCAGUUACGAGAUGGGUUAUAAAACACCACACCACCUGACAUUAGAGAAGUACAACGCAUUGCACCAUAGCCCAGUCUUUCACAACGGGGAGGAAGAGCAAUGGCAAAUUUUAAGUGAAGAAAUUUAAUAAAACGAUGUAAUAUUGACAUUUGUGAAGAAAAAUUUCAAAUAAAUUUUUGAUAACUUUACAAAUUUAAGACCCAUUAGAAGACUAAUCCCAUGAUGUACCAUUCCUAGGACGAUAGUUAAUGCCUCUGCGACGCAAAGAUUCAACUACAUCUUCGUUUAAUACACCUUGAACACGAGUCGCAUAGAUUCCGGGAGUAAAAGUAUCGAUUCUCUGCCAUCUGGCAACCCAAGAUUCGGUGGGACUCAUCAUUGCCAUUAUUCCUUCAAAUACUGGCGAGGUAAAUGUUUCCACGUCGUCUACACCAUCGUUCGGACAGCCUUUGUUAGCAAAAACACUAUGAGGCAAAACAAUUCCACAAAUGAGACAUGCUCUUGAUCUAGUCCUAUUUAGCUUAUCCAUGCUGUGAGGUUUAUACAAUGCAAGUGUGUUUGGUUAUGGUUGAGUUACAAACACGAAAGAAAGUGCAAUACCUAUCAAACAAAUAUUAAUUAUAAAUGAACCAGAAUAUCGAACGAAGCUGCUUAAUAAAACAGUAAAAGAUACACAUUUUGUAUUUGCUAGCUAAACGUUUAAUGUUGCGAUAUCAGUCUCUUAAUUACAAUUUUAACCAUACAACUCACAAGUUCCAGGAAAACAAAAAUUUUAUAAAACUAAAUUAAACAAUAAAGUCUAGCCAUCAGAACUAAAAAAUGAUGGCCUCAUUAUUACAAUAAAGGAGCAUGCGGUAGCGACAAUUGGAAAAGUUGUGAGAUAAGAAUGCAAAACUACACACCCAAAGUGUCAAUUUGGGUAAAUCUAAUAAUGGUAUUUUACAUGAAAAGUACCUUAGAUAAAUAAACAUGUGACCCAAAAGCUGUAUUGGAAGCAUGCGUGAUUAAGGAACGAAUAAUGGAGUAAAGCGGACAGACAAGGAAUGGUGAAAGAGGCCAUUGAAUUUAAAGUUAAGAAGCAAUGCGUAUUACCUUCCAAUUAAUAAUGGACCAUUUACUCUAUAGAAACAGUUCUGAUGAAUGAGAUAGUAUAUUUUUUGGCGCAGAAAAGUAGAAACGCUAAUGCUUUCUAUAUGAAGACAUUUCCAGCUCUUUCUCGUUUUUUAAAAUCCUUCUUUCUCUCCUAGUUGCAAAAUGAAGAAAUAGAACGAUCAGUAUGCAACAGGAUAAACCAACGGAUAACCCAAUUGCAAGUUUCUUGUCAAUCGGGUUUACAGAAAAUGCAGGGGAAACAUCCACUACCAUCUUCCAGUAAAACGUGUUCGCUAAUAGGACCUGUGGACCCACAUAUACCGUGCUGGCGGUACCAUUUUGAGGAACAGCAACAACUCGCGCAGUAAUGUUGUCCAUCUUCAUAAGCCAUUUCUUAUCUAUCUUUACCAUCCAGUAAGUUUGGUUGGAAGGAAUAACACCACUGCUCGUAAUCAAUGUGUUAUUGGAGUCGGCAUAUUGCAAAGCAAUUUCGACAAACUGUUCAGUGGGUUGUUUCCAUUUGACAGCAUAAGUAAAUCCUCUAGCCCAUCGAGAAUCUUAAACAAAAGUCAGUUUUACAAUACUAAAAAUUAAAUAAAAAACAUACCUUCAGCAGGAGUGAUGAACUCAAAUUCAGCCCGAACAAGAUUGAUAAAAGUAAGGAUUAAGAAUAAAGCAGAUCCUAGAAAGAAUUUCAUUUUGUGAACCCGAAGUUUUCUUUGUAGCUUAAAAAAAAUAAAAAAACGGUCUUCUCUAACGUGAAUCUUACAAUGUCUUUAGCAUAGACUCAGUGAUACGGCAAUUGUCUGCGGAAGAUACAUCAACAGCCAGGGACGGAAGUGUAAAAUUAACUCGUACUCGUUAAUG